rnacentral:tRNA from 1 species
GCAUCAAUAGUCCAAGGGUAGGAUUUGAGCCUUCCAAACUUAAAAUCCGGGUUCGAGUCCCAGUUGAUGCA